UUCAGGGUUCGUUUUAAGUAACUCUUACACAAUGCGGUUAUAUAAAACGCCACCAUGCAGAAGUGUGCGUUGGUUGAAGCGAGAUAGAAUAAGGCCUCGAGGUUUCAAAGGAUUUUUUUUUUUUUGCAACUAAAUUAUUCAGGAAUUUUUAAGAUAAAGUCAACUUCAGCAGAGCAGGACACGCAAUGGAGUGACCAUUAAAGUUUCACUGCUGCUCUCUGUGGAAGGCCCAGCGGCAGACGUUCUCCAGACUCUGAGAAGCGUUGCCCAGUUCAAUCAAACCCAUGGACUGACAAUACCAACACAAAGCAUAACACAAACACUCUCGCAACUCCAAAAGCUUUCAUGUUCAGACUGGGUGCCACUGAAGCAUGUCUCUCAGGCUCUGCCUGUGCCAAAACUGCUCGAGCGAGGGACAGCAUAAGAGAAGUAAUGAGAUAAUCCUGAAGGGCGAUUCACCAAUCAGAGAAGUCGCUGUUACUAUGGAAACCAAAAUCCCGGCACAAGAACUCACAAGUGACCACCCACUCCUAUCAAGCAUUGUGAAUGACAACUGAUUUUCCAGAUACUCUCACACAAAAUGCAAUGAAUAUUUUGCAAAAAACUUAAAAUAUAUGGCAUUUCAUACUAUGUUCAAUCACUUUAAGUUUUAUUCAAUAACUUUUUAAUGCCUGUAAUGAAAAAACAGCCAACCAUUAUACUACCAGCCUCACUUUUACAGUCAUCUAUCAUUUUUGUGUUGUUAAUCCAUAAAAUAUCUUUAGGGUGAAAACAAAUUAAAUAGAUACAAGAAACUUUUUUUUCUUUGGGAUCAGCGAUUCAGGAUUUCCAGAUCAAUACCCACAGAAUUGUUAAUGUGCAGUCUAAUUAGGCUGUUUGAGUAAAGUGUAAUUUAAAAAAAAAAUGCUCUUCUUUAGUUCCAUUCAGAUUUUACUUUCCAAACAUAUAGCACUUGUAGGGUAAUAUAUGUAAAUACAGUCUAUUAACAUGGUUCAGAAUGGAGGGAUCUUGACAAAUGUUCCUUGUUUUGGAAGAAGAAAAGCAGUGUACAUCUUCUCAUAAACUUCUUGGUUAUGCUGAAUAAUAAAACAGAAUUUGAUAAACUUCUAGCUCAUUUCUAAACAAGUACAGACACCCUAAUAUACAAACCAAAUGGGAAGUCAAACAAAUGCAUCAUAAAAGCAGAAAUGUUUACCGCCAAGACAACAACAAUUAUUUACUAGUGUAGAUGCUGCAAAACCUAGCAAAUGAAAAUCUGCAGAACAAAUAAAUGUAAGAAAUCCUAGAUAAAUUCUAUAACAACUAACAUUUGGGGCAAGUUAUACAAUCAUCUUGGAAUGUUUUAUUAUCUUGACAAAUUUUACAAAUUUAUCUAAAAGUGGGUCAUGGGCUU